UUGCUUCAGCAGCAAAUACACUAAAAUUGGAACAAUACAAUGAAGAUUAGCAUGGCCCCUGUAACAAGGAUUACACAAAUUCAUAAAGCAUUCCAUAUUUUG
ensembl:snRNA U6 U6 spliceosomal RNA